GCCUAACACAUGCAAGUCGAACGGUAACAGGCUCUUCUACCAGGCGUCAAGUGGCGGACGGGUGAGUAACGCGUAGGAAUCUGCCCAGUAGUGGGGGACAACCAGGGGAAACCCUGGCUAAUACCGCAUACACUCUACGGAGAAAAGGAGGCCUCUUCUUGAAAGCACGCUAUUGGAUGAGCCCAAGUCGGAUUAGCUUGUUGGUGGGGUAAAGGCCUACCAAGGCGACGAUCCGUAGCUGGUCUGAGAGGACGAUCAGCCACACUGGGACUGAGACACGGCCCAGACUCCUACGGGAGGCAGCAGUGGGGAAUAUUGGACAAUGGGCGAAAGCCUGAUCCAGCAAUGCCGCGUGUGUGAAGAAGGCCUGCGGGUUGUAAAGCACUUUCAGCAGGGAAGAAAAGCGCGGGGCUAAUACCCCCGAGUCUUGACGUCACCUGAAGAAGAAGCAUCGGCCAACUCCGUGCCAGCAGCCGCGGUAAUACGGAGGGUGCGAGCGUUAAUCGGAAUUACUGGGCGUAAAGCGCACGUAGGCGGCUUCCUAAGUCGGAUGUGAAAGCCCCGGGCUUAACCUGGGAACUGCAUUCGAUACUGCCAAACUAGAAUAUGGGAGAGGGAAGUGGAAUUUCCUGUGUAGCGGUGAAAUGCGUAGAUAUAGGAAGGAACACCAGUGGCGAAGGCGACUCACUGGACCAAUACUGACAGUGAGGUGCGAAAGCGUGGUGAGCAAACAGGAUUAGAUACCCUGGUAGUCCACGCCGUAAACGAUGUCUACUAGCCGUUUGGGAGACUUGAUCUCUUAGUGGCGCAGCUAACGCAAUAAGUAGACCGCCUGGGGAGUACGGCCGCAAGGUUAAAACUCAAAUGAAUUGACGGGGGCCCGCACAAGCGGUGGAGCAUGUGGUUUAAUUCGAUGCAACGCGAAGAACCUUACCUGGUCUUGACAUCCUACGAACUUACUAGAGAUAGUUUGGUGCCUUCGGGAACUCUGUGACAGGUGCUGCAUGGCUGUCGUCAGCUCGUGUCGUGAGAUGUUGGGUUAAGUCCCGCAACGAGCGCAACCCUUGUCCUUAGUUGCCAGCACGUCGGAUGGGAACUCUAAGGAGACCGCCGGUGAUAAACCGGAGGAAGGUGGGGACGACGUCAAGUCAUCAUGGCCCUUAUGGGCAGGGCUACACACGUGCUACAAUGGCCGGUACAGAGGGUUGCCAACCCGCGAGGGGGAGCUAAUCCCAGAAAGCCGGUCGUAGUCCGGAUCGGAGUCUGCAACUCGACUCCGUGAAGUCGGAAUCGCUAGUAAUCGCGAAUCAGCAUUGUCGCGGUGAAUACGUUCCCGGGUCUUGUACACACCGCCCGUCACACCAUGGGAGUUGGUUGCACCAGAAGUAGGUAGUCUAACCUUCGGGAGGACGCUUACCACGGUGUGGCUUAUGACUGGGGUGAAGUCGUAACAAGGUAGCCGUACGGGAACGUGCGGCUGGAUCACCUCCUUU
rnacentral:rRNA from 1 species